AACGAACGCUGGCGGCAUGCCUAACACAUGCAAGUCGAACGAGACCUUCGGGUCUAGUGGCGCACGGGUGCGUAACGCGUGGGAAUCUGCCCUUGGGUUCGGAAUAACAAUGAGAAAUUACUGCUAAUACCGGAUGAUGUCUUCGGACCAAAGAUUUAUCGCCCAGGGAUGAGCCCGCGUAGGAUUAGCUAGUUGGUGGGGUAAUGGCCUACCAAGGCGACGAUCCUUAGCUGGUCUGAGAGGAUGAUCAGCCACACUGGGACUGAGACACGGCCCAGACUCCUACGGGAGGCAGCAGUGGGGAAUAUUGGACAAUGGGCGCAAGCCUGAUCCAGCAAUGCCGCGUGAGUGAUGAAGGCCUUAGGGUUGUAAAGCUCUUUUACCCGGGAUGAUAAUGACAGUACCGGGAGAAUAAGCUCCGGCUAACUCCGUG
rnacentral:rRNA from 1 species